rnacentral:rRNA from 1 species
UACGGAGGGUGCGAGCGUUGUCCGGAAUCACUGGGCGUAAAGGGCGCGUAGGUGGCGCGACAAGUCCACGGUGAAAGCCCGGGGCUCAACCCCGGGUCGGCCGUCGAUACUGUUGGGCUUGAGCACUGUAGAGGCAGAUGGAAUUCCGGGUGUAGCGGUGGAAUGCGUAGAGAUCCGGAAGAACACCGGUGGCGAAGGCGGUCUGCUGGGCAGUAGCUGACACUGAGGCAUGAAAGCGUGGGGAGCAAACAGG